UACGAGGGGGGCAAGUGUUGUUCGGAAUUACUGGGCGUAAAGGGAGCGUAGGCGGAUGCUUAAGUUGGAUGUUUAAAACCGGGGCCCAACCCCGGAGCGGCAUCCAAAACUGGGCAUCUUGAAUGGGACAGAGGCUGGUGGAAUUGGAGGUGUAGCGGUGGAAUGCGUAGAGAUCUCCAAGAACACCUAUUGCGAAGGCAGCCAGCUGGGUCCACAUUGACGCUGAGGCUCGAAAGCGUGGGGAGCAAACGGG
rnacentral:rRNA from 1 species